UACAGAGGUCUCAAGCGUUGUUCGGAUUCAUUGGGCGUAAAGGGUGCGUAGGUGGCGCGCUAAGUCGGGUGUGAAAUUUCGAGGCUUAACCUCGAAACUGCAUUCGAUACUGGCGUGCUUGAGGACUGGAGAGGAGACUGGAAUUCAUGGUGUAGCAGUGAAAUGCGUAGAGAUCAUGAGGAAGACCAGUGGCGAAGGCGGGUCUCUGGACAGUUCCUGACACUGAGGCACGAAGGCCAGGGGAGCAAACGGG
rnacentral:rRNA from 1 species